rnacentral:rRNA from 1 species
UACAGAGGUCCCAAGCGUUGUUCGGAUUCACUGGGCGUAAAGGGCGCGUAGGCGGCCUGUUAAGUCGAACGUGAAAUCCCCGGGCUCAACCCGGGAACUGCGUCCGAUACUGGCAGGCUUGAAUUCGGGAGAGGGAUGCGGAAUUCCAGGUGUAGCGGUGAAAUGCGUAGAUAUCUGGAGGAACACCGGUGGCGAAGGCGGCAUCCUGGACCGAGAUUGACGCUGAGGCGCGAAAGCCAGGGGAGCAAACAGG